rnacentral:rRNA from 1 species
CAAAGGUAGCAUAAUCAUUAGGGGUUUAAUUGGGACCUGGAAUGAAGGGUUGGACAAAAGAAGGACUGUCUUUAUAGUAAAAGUUGAAGUUUACCUUUAAGUGAAAAGGCUUAAAUGUUUCAGAGGGACGAUAAGACCCUAUAAAGCUUUAUAAAUAAUUUAGAUUUAAUUGAUUUAUGAAGUAAAAGUUGAGUUUAAUUAUUUUAUUUUGUUGGGGUGAUGUGAGUAUAAUUGAUGUUAACUGCUUAUAAGAGAUACUAUAAUAUUAGAAUUAUAAAUAAUGAUCCUUUUUAAAGAUUAAAAGACUAAGUUACUUUAGGGAUAACAGCGUUAUUUCUUUUGAGAGUUCAUAUCGAAAAAGGAGAUUGCGACCUCGAUGUUGAAUUAAAAUAUCUAUAUAAUGCAGCCGUUAUAAAAGAGGGUCUGUUCGACCUUUAAAUUUUUACAUGAUUUGAGUUCA